rnacentral:rRNA from 1 species
GGAGGUAGUGACAAUAAAUCACAAUGCGGGACUAUUCGUCUUGCAAUUGGAUUGAGAACAAUGUACAACUCUUAUCGAUAAGCCAUUGGAGGGCAAGUCUGGUGCCAGCAGCCGCGGUAAUUCCAGCUCCAAUAGCGUAUAUUAACGUUGUUGCAGUUAAAAAGCUCGUAGUUGAAGUGUGGGUGGUGCCUACUUCAUGACUUCGGUUGUGAGGCAGAUCACUACCCCCUUCCAGUAUCCAGUAGUGGGUAUUCAGUUACUUACUACUGUGUGUUGGUCGUUUACUGUGAGAAAAUUAGAGUGUUCAAAGCAGGCGUUUGCUUGAAUAGAUUAGCAUGGAAUAAUAAUUGAAGGCUUUCGUGUUCGAUUUGAUUGGUUUGUUCAUGGAAGCAAGGUUAAAAGGAACAGUUGGGGGUAUUCAUAUUCACUAGUUAGAGGUGAAAUUCUCGGAUUUAUGGAAGAUGAACAAGUGCGAAAGCA